rnacentral:rRNA from 1 species
UAUACAAUGAAGAGUUUGAUCCUGGCUCAGGAUGAACGCUAGCGGCAGGCUUAACACAUGCAAGUCGAGGGGUAACAUUGUGCUUGCACAGAUGACGACCGGCGAACGGGUGCGUAACGCGUAUAGAAUCUGCCUUGUACAGGAGGAUAGCCUUUAGAAAUGAAGAUUAACACUCCAUAAUGUUAAUGACUGGCAUCAGUUAUUAAUUAAACAUUUAUGGGUACAAGAUGACUAUGCGUCCUAUUAGCUAGAUGGUAAGGUAAUGGCUUACCAUGGCGACGAUAGGUAGGGGGUCUGAGAGGAUUAUCCCCCACACUGGUACUGAGACACGGACCAGACUCCUACGGGAGGCAGCAGUGAGGAAUAUUGGUCAAUGGAGGCAACUCUGAAC